rnacentral:rRNA from 1 species
AACGAACGCUGGCGGCAUGCCUAACACAUGCAAGUCGAACGAGAUCUUCGGGUCUAGUGGCGCACGGGUGCGUAACGCGUGGGAAUCUGCCCUUUGGUUCGGAAUAACAGUUGGCAACGACUGCUAAUACCGGAUGAUGACGAAAGUCCAAAGAUUUAUCGCCAGAGGAUGAGCCCGCGUAGGAUUAGCUAGUUGGUGUGGUAAAGGCGCACCAAGGCGACGAUCCUUAGCUGGUCUGAGAGGAUGAUCAGCCACACUGGGACUGAGACACGGCCCAGACUCCUACGGGAGGCAGCGGUGGGGAAUAUUGGACAAUGGGCGAAAGCCUGAUCCAGCAAUGCCGCGUGAGUGAUGAAGGCCUUAGGGUUGUAAAGCUCUUUUACCCGGGAUGAUAAUGACAGUACCGGGAGAAUAAGCUCCGGCUAACUCCGUGCCAGCAGCCGCCGUAA